AGAGUUUGAUCUGGCUCAGAACGAACGCUGGCGGCAGGCCUAACACAUGCAAGUCGAACGACACAGUGGCAGACGGGUGAGUAACGCGUGGGAACGUACCUUUCGCUACGGAAUAGCUCCGGGAAACUGGUGGUAAUACCGUAUACGCCCUCAGGGGGAAAGAUUUAUCGGCGAAAGAUCGGCCCGCGUUGGAUUAGCUAGUUGGUGAGGUAAUGGCUCACCAAGGCGACGAUCCAUAGCUGGUCUGAGAGGAUGAUCAGCCACACUGGGACUGAGACACGGCCCAGACUCCUACGGGAGGCAGCAGUGGGGAAUCUUGCACAAUGGGCGAAAGCCUGAUGCAGCCAUGCCGCGUGAAUGAUGAAGGCCUUAGGGUUGUAAAAUUCUUUCGCCAGGGAUGAUAAUGACAGUACCUGGUAAAGAAGCCCCGGCUAACUUCGUGCCAGCAGCCGCGGUAAUACGAAGGGGCUAGCGUUGUUCGGAAUUACUGGGCGUAAAGCGCACGUAGGCGGAUUCUUAAGUCAGGUGUGAAAUCCCGGGGCUCAACCUCGGAACUGCAUUUGAAACUGGGAGUCUUGAGAUCAGGAGAGGUUAGCGGAAUACCGAGUGUAGAGGUGAAAUUCGUAGAUAUUCGGUGGAACACCAGUGGCGAAGGCGGCUAACUGGACUGAUACUGACGCUGAGGUGCGAAAGUGUGGGGAGCAAACAGGAUUAGAUACCCUGGUAGUCCACACCGUAAACGAUGAGAGCUAGUUGUUGGCAGGCAUGCCUGUCGGUGACGCAGUUAACACAUUAAGCUCUCCGCCUGGGGAGUACGGCCGCAAGGUUAAAACUCAAAGAAAUUGACGGGGGCCCGCACAAGCGGUGAAGCAUGUGGUUUAAUUCGAAGCAACGCGCAGAACCUUACCUACCCUUGACAUGUCCAGUAUGGUUUCCAGAGAUGGAUUCCUUCAGUUCGGCUGGCUGGAACACAGGUGCUGCAUGGCUGUCGUCAGCUCGUGUCGUGAGAUGUUGGGUUAAGUCCCGCAACGAGCGCAACCCUCAUCCUUAGUUGCCAUCACGUUUGGGUGGGCACUCUAAGGAAACUGCCGGUGGCAAGCCGGAGGAAGGUGGGGAUGACGUCAAGUCCUCAUGGCCCUUACGGGUAGGGCUACACACGUGCUACAAUGGUGGUGACAAUGGGAUAAUCCCCAAAAACCAUCUCAGUUCGGAUUGUCGUCUGCAACUCGACGGCAUGAAGGUGGAAUCGCUAGUAAUCGUGGAUCAGCAUGCCACGGUGAAUACGUUCCCGGGCCUUGUACACAC
rnacentral:rRNA from 1 species